AGUGAACGCUGGCGGUAGGCCUAACACAUGCAAGUCGAACGGCAGCACAGUAAGAGCUUGCUCUUACGGGUGGCGAGUGGCGGACGGGUGAGGAAUACAUCGGAAUCUACUUUUUCGUGGGGGAUAACGUAGGGAAACUUACGCUAAUACCGCAUACGACCUACGGGUGAAAGCAGGGGAUCUUCGGACCUUGUGCGAUUGAAUGAGCCGAUGUCGGAUUAGCUAGUUGGCGGGGUAAAGGCCCACCAAGGCGACGACCCGUAGCUGGUCUGAGAGGAUGAUCAGCCACACUGGAACUGAGACACGGUCCAGACUCCUACGGGAGGCAGCAGUGGGGAAUAUUGGACAAUGGGCGCAAGCCUGAUCCAGCCAUACCGCGUGGGUGAAGAAGGCCUUCGGGUUGUAAAGCCCUUUUGUUGGGAAAGAAAAGCAGCAGGUUAAUACCCCGCUGUUCUGACGGUACCCAAAGAAUAAGCACCGGCUAACUUCGUG
rnacentral:rRNA from 1 species